GUUGGGUAGGGGAGCGUUCUGUAAGCCUGCGAAGGUGGCCUGUGAGGGUUGCUGGAGGUAUCAGAAGUGCGAAUGCUGACAUAAGUAACGAUAAAGCGGGUGAAAAGCCCGCUCGCCGGAAGACCAAGGGUUCCUGUCCAACGUUAAUCGGGGCAGGGUGAGUCGACCCCUAAGGCGAGGCCGAAAGGCGUAGUCGAUGGGAAACGGGUUAAUAUUCCCGUACUUGGUGUUACUGCGAAGGGGGGACGGAGAAGGCUAUGUUGGCCGGGCGACGGUUGUCCCGGUUUAAGCGUGUAGGUGUGUGUUCCAGGUAAAUCCGGUUCACUUUAACACUGAGGCGUGACGACGAGGCACUACGGUGCUGAAGCAACAAAUGCCCUGCUUCCAGGAAAAGCCUCUAAGCAUCAGGUAACAUCAAAUCGUACCCCAAACCGACACAGGUGGUCAGGUAGAGAAUACCAAGGCGCUUGAGAGAACUCGGGUGAAGGAACUAGGCAAAAUGGUGCCGUAACUUCGGGAGAAGGCACGCUGACACGUAGGUGAAGUGAUUUACUCAUGGAGCUGAAGUCAGUCGAAGAUACCAGCUGGCUGCAACUGUUUAUUAAAAACACAGCACUGUGCAAACACGAAAGUGGACGUAUACGGUGUGACGCCUGCCCGGUGCCGGAAGGUUAAUUGAUGGGGUCAGCGCAAGCGAAGCUCCUGAUCGAAGCCCCGGUAAACGGCGGCCGUAACUAUAACGGUCCUAAGGUAGCGAAAUUCCUUGUCGGGUAAGUUCCGACCUGCACGAAUGGCGUAAUGAUGGCCAGGCUGUCUCCACCCGAGACUCAGUGAAAUUGAACUCGCUGUGAAGAUGCAGUGUACCCGCGGCAAGACGGAAAGACCCCGUGAACCUUUACUAUAGCUUGACACUGAACAUUGAGCCUUGAUGUGUAGGAUAGGUGGGAGGCUUUGAAGUGUGGACGCCAGUCUGCAUGGAGCCGACCUUGAAAUACCACCCUUUAAUGUUUGAUGUUCUAACGUGGACCCGUUACCCGGGUUGCGGACAGUGUCUGGUGGGUAGUUUGACUGGGGCGGUCUCCUCCUAAAGAGUAACGGAGGAGCACGAAGGUUGGCUAAUCCUGGUCGGACAUCAGGAGGUUAGUGCAAUGGCAUAAGCCAGCUUGACUGCGAGCGUGACGGCGCGAGCAGGUGCGAAAGCAGGUCAUAGUGAUCCGGUGGUUCUGAAUGGAAGGGCCAUCGCUCAACGGAUAAAAGGUACUCCGGGGAUAACAGGCUGAUACCGCCCAAGAGUUCAUAUCGACGGCGGUGUUUGGCACCUCGAUGUCGGCUCAUCACAUCCUGGGGCUGAAGUAGGUCCCAAGGGUAUGGCUGUUCGCCAUUUAAAGUGGUACGCGAGCUGGGUUUAGAACGUCGUGAGACAGUUCGGUCCCUAUCUGCCGUGGGCGCUGGAGAACUGAGGGGGGCUGCUCCUAGUACGAGAGGACCGGAGUGGACGCAUCACUGGUGUUCGGGUUGUCAUGCCAAUGGCACUGCCCGGUAGCUAAAUGCGGAAGAGAUAAGUGCUGAAAGCAUCUAAGCACGAAACUUGCCCCGAG
rnacentral:rRNA from 3 species